GUCCACGCCCUAAACGAUGUCUACUAGUUGUUGGUGGAGUAAAAUCCAUGAGUAACGCAGCUAACGCGUGAAGUAGACCGCCUGGGGAGUACGGUCGCAAGAUUAAAACUCAAAGGAAUUGACGGGGGCCCGCACAAGCGGUGGAUUAUGUGGAUUAAUUCGAUGCAACGCGAAAAACCUUACCUGGCCUUGACAUGCCACUAACGAAGCAGAGAUGCAUUGGGUGCUCGAAAAGAGAAAGUGGACACAGGUGCUGCAUGGCUGUCGU
rnacentral:rRNA from 1 species